CGGCAACAGCUCAAAUUUGAAAUCUGGCCCUUUCGGGGUCCGAGUUGUAAUUUGUAGAGGGUGUUUCGGGUGAGACGUCGGCCUAAGUCCCUUGGAACAGGGCGUCAUAGAGGGUGAGAAUCCCGUAUGCGGCCGGUGAUCGAGUCCAUGUGAAACCCCUUCGACGAGUCGAGUUGUUUGGGAAUGCAGCUCUAAAUGGGUGGUAAAUUUCAUCUAAAGCUAAAUACUGGCCAGAGACCGAUAGCGCACAAGUAGAGUGAUCGAAAGAUGAAAAGCACUUUGGAAAGAGAGUUAAACAGUACGUGAAAUUGUUGAAAGGGAAGCGCUUGCAACCAGACCUGUCGUCGGGUGAUCAGCCGUCGUUUUCGGCGGUGCACUCGCCCGGUCGCAGGCCAGCAUCGGUUUAGGCGGUUGGAUAAAGGCCGCGGGAACGUAGCUCCCCUCGGGGAGUGUUAUAGCCCACGGUGCAAUGCAGCCAGCCCGGACCGAGGAUCGCGCUUCGGCUAGGAUGCUGGCGUAAUGGUUGUAAGCGGCCCGUCUUGAAACACGGACCAAGGAGUCUAACAUCUACGCGAGUGUUUGGGUGUCAAACCCAUGCGCGGAAUGAAAGUGAACGGAGGUGAGACCCCUUAAGGGCGCAUCAUCGACCGAUCCAGAUGUCUUCGGAUGGAUUUGAGUAAGAGCGUAGCUGUUGGGACCCGAAAGAUGGUGAACUAUGCCUGAAUAGGGUGAAGCCAGAGGAAACUCUGGUGGAGGYUCGCAGCGGUUCUGACGUGCAAAUCGAUCGUCAAAUUUGGGUAUAGGGGCGAAAGACUAA
rnacentral:rRNA from 1 species